CCUACGGGUGACAGCAGUGGGGAAUCUUGGACAAUGGGGGGAACUCUGACCCAGCGACGCCGCGUGAGUGAAGAAGUAUUUCGGUAUGUAAAGCUCUAUCAGCAGGGAAGAAAGAAAUGACGGUACCUGACUAAGAAGUCCCGGCUAACCACGUGCCAGCAGCCGCGGUAAUACGUAGGGGGCAAGCGUUAUCCGGAUUUACUGGGUGUAAAGGGAGCGUAGACGGCGAUGUAAGUCUGAAGUGAAAGGCGGGGGCCCAACCCCCGGAAUGGUUUGGAAACUGUAUGGCUGGAGUGCAGGAGAGGAAAGUGGAAUUCCUAGUGUAGCGGUGAAAUGCGUAGAUAUUAGGAGGAACACCAGUGGCGAAGGCGGCCUGCUGGACGGUGACUGACGCUGAGGCUCGAAAGCGUGGGGAGCAAACAGGAUUAGAUACCCCAGUAGUC
rnacentral:rRNA from 1 species